rnacentral:rRNA from 1 species
CCUACGGGUGGCUGCAGUAGGGAAUAUUGCACAAUGGGCGAAAGCCUGAUGCAGCAACGCCGCGUGCGCGAUGAAGGCCUUCGGGUCGUAAAGCGCUUUUCGAGGGGAUGAGGAAGGACAGUACCCUCGGAAUAAGUCACGGCUAACUACGUGCCAGCAGCCGCGGUAAGACGUAGGUGGCGAGCGUUAUCCGGAUUUACUGGGCGUAAAGCGCGUGCAGGCGGUUCGGUAAGUCGGGCGUGAAAUCUCCUGGCUCAACUGGGAGGGGUCGUCCGAAACUACCGGACUUGAGGGCAGUAGAGGGAGGUGGAAUUCCGGGUGUAGUGGUGAAAUGCGUAGAUAUCCGGAGGAACACCGGUGGCGAAAGCGGCCUCCUGGGCUGCCCCUGACGCUCAGACGCGAAAGCUAGGGGAGCGAACGGGAUUAGAUACCCCAGUAGUC